rnacentral:snRNA from 1 species
GCUAUGUGCUCACCACAU